rnacentral:rRNA from 1 species
CUUGCUCAGAUAUGACGAUGGACAUUGCAAAGAGUGGCGAACGGGUGAGUAACACGUGGGAAACCUACCUCUUAGCAGGGGAUAACAUUUGGAAACAGAUGCUAAUACCGUAUAACAAUAGCAACCGCAGGGUUGCUACUUAAAAGAUGGUUCUGCUAUCACUAAGAGAUGGUCCCGCGGUGCAUUAGUUAGUUGGUGAGGUAAUGGCUCACCAAGACGAUGAUGCAUAGCCAAGUUGAGAGACUGAUCGGCCACAAUGGGACUGAGACACGGCCCAUACUCCUACGGGAGGCAGCAGUAGGGAAUCUUCCACAAUGGGCGAAAGCCUGAUGGAGCAACGCCGCGUGUGUGAUGAAGGGUUUCGGCUCGUAAAACACUGUUGUAAGAGAAGAAUGACAUUGAGAGUAACUGUUCAAUGUGUGACGGUAUCUUACCAGAAAGGAACGGCUAAAUACGUGCCAGCAGCCGCGGUAAUACGUAUGUUCCAAGCGUUAUCCGGAUUUAUUGGGCGUAAAGCGAGCGCAGACGGUUAUUUAAGUCUGAAGUGAAAGCCCUCAGCUCAACUGAGGAAUUGCUUUGGAAACUGGAUGACUUGAGUGCGUAGAGGAAAGUGGAACUCCAUGUGUAG